UGGCGACCCCUAAUCGGGAAAAGCCGAACGACAAACAACAACAUAUAAUCUAGUAACUUCUGGAGGAACUACAUACCAGGUGAAACUAACAUCUUCAUCAUUCCAACAUGAAAUAUCUCAAUGGAAGAAAGGUCAGUAAAGAGGCUGAACACUGGAUAGAUGUUUCCGCUGUAGACCAUCAUUUUUACUAUCAAGAUUCAGUGUUAAAGCAAUGGGCAACAGAUGUCCGAGAAGGAUUAUCAUCCAGGCAACCUUCAAGAAAUGCUCAUUUUUUACAUUUUCUCUUUUUGCCUAACUUUACACACAAAAAAUCUUAUAGAUUAGGACAAAUUUCUAGUCUGAUGAAGUCUAUAAGAUGAAAGCACUAAUCCAAAUAAAGAUUCUUUAAAUGAA